AACCUUAUGGACCUGCGGGCGUAUACCUGCGGAGGGAUCAUUAAUAAUCGGUUGGGGGGAAACUCCCAGCGUCUGUAUCCUCUGAUUACUUUAUUCUUGUUGCUUUGGCGGGCCGGGCAUUCGUGUUCCAGCGGUCAGGUGUUAGCCUGCCUGCUGAGCGCCCGCCGAAGACCCAACUAAACUCGUUAUUAAACAUACUGUCUGAAUACAAACAAAAUAAGCAAAAACUUUCAACAAUGG
rnacentral:misc_RNA from 1 species